AGACACGUAUCCAACCUGCCGUCUACUCUUGGACAGCCUUCUGAAAGGAAGAUUAAUACAAGAUGGCAUCAUGAGUCCGCAUGUUCACAUGAUUAAAGGUAUUCCGGUAGACGAUGGGGAUGCGUUCCAUUAGAUAGUAGGCGGGGUAACGGCCCACCUAGUCUUCGAUGGAUAGGGGUUCUGAGAGGAAGGUCCCCCACAUUGGAACUGAGACACGAUCCAA
rnacentral:rRNA from 1 species